rnacentral:lncRNA from 1 species
AAUGUAUCUGUAUUCUAAAAAUGCACAGACCUUUUCAGGUAAAGCUUAGAGAAUGCCGUGGAAUACUCACAUAAUUAACUUCAUUGCAUGCGUUUAGCAGUUUACUAAUGCAAAUGUUUGUGUUUAAGUCUUUUUUUUUUCAAUACUGAGGAAAACAAUAUUUGGUGUGGUACUUCUACAGCCCAGGACCUCACACAUGCUCGCAAGUGUUCUACCACUAAACUGUUAUCCAUAGAGCAUGAAAAUACUUUAAUAAGAGGAAAUUCUAUCCACUAACUUCAUUUUCUGAGUGAAGGCAACAACAAUAAAAACCUCAUUUCAUAUUAGCUGCUGAACAUCUCUGCCAGCUAAUCUUUAGGACCUGGGUUUGGGAGCUUCUCUUCUGGAAGUCCAGCAGAAUUGUAUGCAGAUGGCCUCAUUACUAAAGAAAGGAGAUGUUACAUAUUGUCUCUUCAGCUUCACUGUGGACUUGUUGCCUCCCUGCCUAGUGCAUGAGAUAUCAGAAGUGCUUAAUGUGCUUGAAUGGAUGAUUAGUGUUAUUUAUGGAUAGAAAAGCAUGCUUCUAUUUAAGCUGUAAAAAGGAUUGUUGACUAUUUACUGUAAAUAUACGUGGACAUAGUAAGCUCAGAAUGUCUUAUGUCCCUGCUGUAUUAUCAUCUUUAUGGAAAAAAAUUCAUUUUGUUCUCUGUAGAGCCAUUAGAAAAAUGAAUUAUAUUGGAAAAAAUAAUUAUGUUGGUGAUUUGAAGAAGUAACUUUGUGGGUUGUCUCUUUGUUCCACAGUAAAACUUUAUGCUCAGUGUCCCUAUUCUGCAUUGUUUACAUUCUUAAGGUUUUUAUUUUAAUCAUCCAUGAGUGUAAAAAAUGUACAUAUUAUUUUUAACAUCUCAAUUUGAAGAGACAUACAGUUAAACUUGACUUUUUUGAUAAAAACGUGUAGGUCAUUGUCUGCUAACAGCGAAUUGUAACCAUAUGCUUCAUAGUGAUGUGGCUUUCUGUCAUAGUUGUGUCCUUGGUAUUUAUUGAGCAUCCACACAGAUAGUUUUUUCAACAACUCUUUUGAUUGAGCUGUAAUCCUUUUUAAGGCUUUAAUUUGAUUUUAUAAUUGUCAGAAUGUGAUGUUCAGCAAUAAAAGAACAAAUGUAAACCAGCA